CGGGGGGGUAAGCGUUGUUCGGAAUUACUGGGCGUAAAGGGCUCGUAGGCGGCCAACUAAGUCAUACGUGAAAUCCCUCAGCUUAACUGGGGAACUGCGUCUGAUACUGGAUGGCUUGGAUUUGGGAGAGGGAUGCGGAAUUCCAGGUGUAGCGGUGAAAUGCGUAGAUAUCUGGAGGAACACCGGUGGCGAAGGCGGCAUCCUGGACCAAUAUUGACGCUGAGGAGCGAAAGCCAGGGGAGCAAACGGGAUUAGAUACCCCGGUAGUCCUGGCCCUAAACGAUGAAUGCUUGGUGUAGCGGGUAUCGAUCCCUGCUGUGCCGAAGCUAACGCAUUAAGCAUUCCGCCUGGGGAGUACGGUCGCAAGGCUG
rnacentral:rRNA from 1 species